UACGGAGGGUGCGAGCGUUGUCCGGAAUCACUGGGCGUAAAGGGCGCGUAGGCGGUCUGCUAAGCGUGUGGUGAAAGCUCGGGGCUCAACCCCGAGUCUGCCAUGCGAACUGGUGGACUGGAGCACUGUAGAGGCAGGUGGAAUUCCCGGUGUAGUGGUGAAAUGCGUAGAUAUCUGGAGGAACACCGGUGGCGAAGGCGGCAUCCUGGACCGGUAUUGACGCUGAGGAGCGAAAGCCAGGGGAGCAAACGGG
rnacentral:rRNA from 1 species